UCAACAAAUAGAGGUGCGCUGCGGAAGAGUACGUCUUGCCAUACAAACGCGGGGGGCGUGGAAAGACGGAAAGGCCAAGGCGCCGAAGUUCUGGCCGUACCCCUCGGACGGCGAGGGCUGGGGUUCCCGUGAACAACGGUCGCCCUGUCAUGAAAGGCACGGCCUUUCGUGGAGCGCUAUUUACGGU
rnacentral:ncRNA from 2 species